rnacentral:rRNA from 1 species
UAGGGAAUAUUGGACAAUGGGGGCAACCCUGAUCCGGCCAUGCCGCGUGAGUGAAGAAGGCCCUCGGGUUGUAAAGCUCUUUUGUCCGGAAAGAAAAGCAUUCGGUGAAUACCCGGAUGUUCUGACGGUACCGGAAGAAUAAGCACCGGCUAACUUCGUGCCAGCAGCCGCGGUAAUACGAAGGGUGCAAGCGUUACUCGGAAUUACUGGGCGUAAAGCGUGCGUAGGUGGUUGUUUAAGUCUGAUGUGAAAGCCCUGGGCUCAACCUGGGAAUGGCAUUGGAAACUGGGCCGCUAGAGUGCGGUAGAGGGUAGUGGAAUUCCCGGUGUAGCAGUGAAAUGCGUAGAGAUCGGGAGGAACAUCUGUGGCGAAGGCGACUGCCUGGACCAGCACUGACACUGAGGCACGAAAGCGUGGGGAGCAAACA